UCGUCAGCUCGUGUCGUGAGAUGUUGGGUUAAGUCCGUAACGAGCGCAACCCUUGUCCUAGUUACCAGCACGUUAUGGUGGCACUCUAAGGAGACUGCCGGUGGACAAACCGGAGGAAGUGGGGAUGACGUCAAGUCAUCAUGGCCCUUACGGCCUGGGCUACACACGUGCUACAAUGGUCGGUACAAAGGGUUGCCAAGCCGCGAGGUGGAGCUAAUCCCAUAAAACCGAUCGUAGUCCGGAUCGCAGUCUGCAACUCGACUGCGUGAAGUCGGAAUCGCUAGUAAUCGUGAAUCAGAAUGUCACGGUGAAUACGUUCCCGGGCCUU
rnacentral:rRNA from 1 species